ensembl:snRNA U6 U6 spliceosomal RNA
GUGCUCGCUUCGGCAGCACGUACACUAAAAUAGGAACGACACAGAGAUUAGCAUGGCCCCUGCGCAAGGAUGAUACGCAAAUUCGUGAAGCGUUCCAUAUUAAA